GAUGGACGCUGGCGGCGUGCCUAAUACAUGCAAGUCGAGCGAACAGACUAGGAGCUUGCUCCUCUGACGUUAGCGGCGGACGGGUGAGUAACACGUGGAUAACCUACCUAUAAGACUGGGAUAACUUCGGGAAACCGGAGCUAAUACCGGAUAAUAUAUUGAACCGCAUGGUUCAAUAGUGAAAGACGGUUUUGCUGUCACUUAUAGAUGGAUCCGCGCCGCAUUAGCUAGUUGGUAAGGUAACGGCUUACCAAGGCAACGAUGCGUAGCCGACCUGAGAGGGUGAUCGGCCACACUGGAACUGAGACACGGUCCAGACUCCUACGGGAGGCAGCAGUAGGGAAUCUUCCGCAAUGGGCGAAAGCCUGACGGAGAAACGCCGCGUGAGUGAUGAAGGUCUUCGGAUCGUAAAACUCUGUUAUUAGGGAAGAACAAAUGUGUAAGUAACUAUGCACGUCUUGACGGUACCUAAUCAGAAAGCCACGGCUAACUACGUG
rnacentral:rRNA from 1 species